rnacentral:rRNA from 1 species
ACCCGCUGAAUUUAAGCAUAUCAAUAAGCGGAGGAAAAGAAACCAACAGGGAUUGCCCUAGUAACGGCGAGUGAAGCGGCAACAGCUCAAAUUUGAAAUCUGGCUCUUUUGGAGUCCGAGUUGUAAUUUGCAGAGGGCGCUUUGGCUUUGGCAGCGGUCCAAGUUCCUUGGAACAGGACGUCACAGAGGGUGAGAAUCCCGUACGUGGUCGCUGGCUAUUGCCGUGUAAAGCCCCUUCGACGAGUCGAGUUGUUUGGGAAUGCAGCUCUAAAUGGGAGGUACAUUUCUUCUAAAGCUAAAUAUUGGCCAGAGACCAAUAGCGCACAAGUAGAGUGAUCGAAAGAUGAAAAGCACUUUGGAAAGAGAGUCAAACAGCACGUGAAAUUGUUGAGAGGGAAGCGCUUGCAGCCAGACUUGCUUACAGUUGCUCAUCCGGGUUUCUACCCGGUGCACUCUUCUGUAGGCAGGCCAGCAUCAGUUUGGGCGGUAGGAUAAAGGUCUCUGUCACGUACCUCCUUUCGGGGAGGCCUUAUAGGGGAGACGACAUACUACCAGCCUGGACUGAGGUCCGCGCAUCUGCUAGGAUGCUGGCGUAAUGGCUGUAAGCGGCCCGUCUUGCAACACGGACCAAGGAG